rnacentral:rRNA from 2 species
UGGGGAAUAUUGCACAAUGGAGGGAACUCUGAUGCAGCGACGCCGCGUGAACGAAGAAGGCUUUCGAGUCGUAAAGUUCUUUUAUAUGGGAAGAUAAUGACGGUACCAUAAGAAAAAGCCCCGGCUAACUACGUGCCAGCAGCCGCGGUAAUACGUAGGGGGCUAGCGUUGUCCGGAAUCACUGGGCGUAAAGGGUUCGCAGGCGGAAAUGCAAGUCAGGUGUAAAAGGCAGUAGCUUAACUACUGUAAGCAUUUGAAACUGCAUAUCUUGAGAAGAGUAGAGGUAAGUGAAAUUUUUAGUGUAGCGGUGAAAUGCGUAGAUAUUAAAAAGAAUACCGGUGGCGAAGGCGACUUACUGGGCUCAUUCUGACGCUGAGGAACGAAAGCGUGGGUAGCAAACAGG